GAUGAACGCUGGCGGCGUGCCUAACACAUGCAAGUCGAGCGAACAGACGAGGAGUUUGCGCCUCUGACGUUUGCGGCGGACGGGUGAGUAACACGUGGAUAACCCACUUAUAAGUCUGGGAUCACUUCGGGAAACCGGAGCUAACCCCGGAUAAUAUACUGAACCGCAUGGUUCAAUAGUGAAAGUCGGUUUUGCUGUCACUUAUAGAUGGUUCCGAGCUGCAUUAGCUAGUUGGUAAGGUAACGGCUUAGCAAGGCGACGAUGCGUAGCCGACCGCAGAGGGUGGUCGGCGACACUGGAACUGAGACACGGUCCAUGCUCCUGCGGGACGGAGCAGUCGGGAAUCUGCCGCAGUGGGGGGGAGCCUGACAGAGCAGCGCGGCGUGAGUGGUGAAAGUCUUCGGUUCGUAAAGCUCUGUUAUUGGGGGAGAACAAAUGUGUAAUUAACUAUGGAGGUAUUGACGGUACCGAAUCAAAAAGCCACGGCUAACUACGUG
rnacentral:rRNA from 1 species